rnacentral:lncRNA from 7 species
AGUCUCAGGAAUUUGCUUCUUUGUGGUUUUCACCAAAACCUAUGAUAACUUCCUCUGAGGGUAAGAACUUCCCUGUCUAAAGGAUAACUGCUAUUUAUUUAUUUUUAAGAAGCACUCCUCACCCACAGGCCCUGGACGUCAUUACUCAGCAGACCUUGCUUUUGUACAGAUAGAGUUACCGAGCAAGUUAUUUAUGCCAAGUCCAGAAUAGCCGGUGCUCUUGCACACUCUGUAAUUUCUCAUGGCUCAGCUGUACCGCCGGCGGCCCUAAUGUCAACACGGCUUUGGUCACCGCUGGCACUUCCAGCUCCCAGCCGGGAGGAGAUGGAUUACACAGCACCCACAUAACCGCCGGCAGCUCGGACUGCCGGCCCUACCUCUGGGGCAGCUGCUCGGGGAGCCGCGACGCUGCAGAGGUGCUGUAUUCAUCCACAGCUGCUUUUGGGGGCUGUGUCCAUCUAAGAAGUAUUUCUCAGCGAUGACUGCAGCAGGGAAAUGGCUGUGGGCUGCCUCACACAGUCCCAGCCCUGCCCUGCACGCCCCGGAGCUCACAGCCAAGUCCCUUUGGCAGCAAUGACACGGAGCUGCAGACGUGAUGCCAGACGCAGCAAUGGGACCGUGUGGGACGCAGGACGCUUGGUGCCAGCUGGGUUGGGAAGAGCUUCUCUUGCCACGAAUGCUGCAGAAAGGUUUUGGGGUCACUGGGUCAGCUGUACCUGUCAGCACACGUCUGUGAAAGUGACACCAGCACAUUCACAGCUUCAGAGGCAACUUCAUAAAUCGCUGUGCUCAGCUCAGCAAGUUAUGGGUGUUACCGCACGGACUUCCAACGAGGGAUCUUCUAGAAAUGCAUCAGAGACUGAGUUGGACACUAUGAGAGCAGUCCAUCGAGGACAGAAAGUGCUGCCCUCCAACAUCAAAUAAACAGCACCUGCACAACUGUUCAUAUUCACAGAUGAGUCCAUUUUAAGCUCAUUCCAAGAAAGCUGAGUUUGAUAGUUUAAGAGCUAAUUUAAUGUUGUGCAUGGCCAUCUAGCAAUGGAAGUUAAAAGAAGACUGAAAAUACAUAACAUUGGCAAACAAAUGCUGAAAUCUCAUAGAUUUUGCAAGACCAGAGAGGGAUCACAGUAAUAGUUCUUCAGAAGGCUGACAGGAGAAUGAACAGUCUUUUUUCGUCUCGAUAAGAAAGUAAAUAAAUAAUUUACAAAAUAAAGUGU